AGAGAAAUAGAGGUCACAAUCAUAUUUUCCAAGGCAAUUUUUGGCCCUCGGGGGAUUCACUGUUAUACUUGGAGGCCAUGUCACCUGAGAGUCAAUGGGCAACGAUCAAAUUUCACCUUGAGCAGAUUCUUUUGUUUGCUUUUUAGUCACAAAUAGCUUGGCCCUAAGUGGUGGCUCCCAUUCUUGUAAGAUGCGUUUAUUCAUCGUGUAAUCACCAGUUCCCUGUAGUGGGGGCGUGGAUGGAGUGUCAGAGGCUCCUGCUGGUCUUUAGGGUGUCUGGCCUCCAGGAAUCCUAGAGGUAGUAUUUGGAGAGAUUUUUAAAAGCUUUGUUUCUGUGACCAGCAAAACCUGGAUUUGACACUGAGGUCAGCCCGUUUCAGCCAGUGACGUAACCUGUCUUUUUGCCCCAGUAAAUUGGGAACUACAGCACUCGAUGUUAGAGUUGUCGUGAAGAUUAAAGAAGGUGACGACUGGACAACUCCCAGCCCAAUACCUGAAACUGUACCAGCACCCAGUGAGCACUGCUAUUCCUGUGACUGCUGCACAUUUGCCUUAUCUCAGCAGUAUGCCUGUGUCACUUUUUUGGCACUCUUUUCUCAUGGGUACAUUCAGAGAAGAGGAAUGUUUGUUCACUGGUGAAGAGAACAUCCCGUGUACUAUCGUGUAGAAGUUGUAGUAGACGCUGUGGUCUUUCCAACAACAAACAAAGGCUGAGAGCUCCAAGGAGCUGUGAAUCACACCUCCGACUCCCCCCAGGGUACAGGAACGGGGUUCAGAAUGCUCUUCCCAAAGCUGCUGGGACAGGACCCAGGAGGUUCCGGAGGAUCAGGAGGUCCACCUGGGAGAAGAGCUGAUCGGCUAGUAGGAGAGCUGGAAAAGCAACAGACACCUACUUAGUCCCUUCCCUGGGGCCCGGCUCCAGUCUGAGCUGUCACGCCACAGCAAAGGCAUCACUUCAGGACAGCAAAGCCCCUGUCUCCCUCCCUUCCAGCUCCUCAGACUUCACCCUGGUAACACGUUUGUUUAAAAAACAUAUUUUUCCCCCUUGUAAAGAAUCUAGGAUACAAGGGGUCAGCCCAGCAGUUUAGGUAUCAAGAAGAAACUGCUCUCGGAGCUAAAGUAAGAAACAGUGCCUGUCUAUAGCGCAAAUAAAGAGUUGGAACAAGAUAAAA
rnacentral:lncRNA from 1 species